rnacentral:lncRNA from 1 species
AGCAACGCAAACCAUCAAAAGUUGACAAGAGCUAGGUAGAGUGCUUCUUCUAUAAGAAAUUAGAUCAUUGAAAAAAAAAUUAUCCUGCUUAUAUAGCUACCCUUGACCCAAAUAGGCCUAAGAAUAAGAGAAAGAAGCAAUUGGUUGCUUUACAAGAUACUUAUAUGAUAACUCCUUGUAAUUUUUCUAUUUGUGAUGCUACUACCUAGAUAUUGGA